rnacentral:rRNA from 1 species
UACGUAGGGUGCGAGCGUUGUCCGGAAUUAUUGGGCGUAAAGAGCUCGUAGGCGGUUUGUCACGUCUGCUGUGAAAUCCCGAGGCUCAACCUCGGGCCUGCAGUGGGUACGGGCAGACUGGAGUGCGGUAGGGGAGAAUGGAAUUCCUGGUGUAGCGGUGGAAUGCGCAGAUAUCAGGAGGAACACCGAUGGCGAAGGCAGUUCUCUGGGCCGUAACUGACGCUGAGGAGCGAAAGCGUGGGGAGCAAACGGG